GGCCCAGACUCCUACGGGAGGCAGCAGUGGGGAAUAUUGCACAAUGGGGGAAACCCUGAUGCAGCGACGCCGCGUGAGUGAAGAAGUCUUUCGGUAUGUAAAUCUCUAUCAGCAGGGAAGAAAAAAGACGGUACCUGACUAAGAAGCCCCGGCUAACUACGUGCCAGCAGCCGCGGUAAUACGUAGGGGGCAAGCGUUAUCCGGAUUUACUGGGUGUAAAGGGAGCGUAGACGGUAUGGCAAGUCUGAAGUGAAAGCCCAGGGCUUAACCCCGGAACUGCUUUGGAAACUGUGCAGCUAGAGUGCAGGAGAGGCAAGUGGAAUUCCUAGUGUAGCGGUGAAAUGCGUAGAUAUUAGGAGGAACACCAGUGGCGAAGGCGGCUUACUGGACUGUAACUGACGUUGAGGCUCGAAAGCGUGGGGAGCAAACAGGAUUAGAUACCCCAGUACA
rnacentral:rRNA from 1 species